CUAACUCCGUGCCAGCAGCCGCGGUAAUACGGAGGGUGCAAGCGUUAAUCGGAAUUACUGGGCGUAAAGCGCACGCAGGCGGUUUGUUAAGUCAGAUGUGAAAUCCCCGGGCUCAACCUGGGAACUGCAUCUGAUACUGGCAAGCUUGAGUCUCGUAGAGGGGGGUAGAAUUCCAGGUGUAGCGGUGAAAUGCGUAGAGAUCUGGAGGAAUACCGGUGGCGAAGGCGGCCCCCUGGACGAAGACUGACGCUCAGGUGCGAAAGCGUGGGGAGCAAACAGGAUUAGAUACCCUGGUAGUCCACGCCGUAAACGAUGUCGACUUGGAGGUUGUGCCCUUGAGGCGUGGCUUCCGGAGCUAACGCGUUAAGUCGACCGCCUGGGGAGUACGGCCGCAAGGUUAAAACUCAAAUGAAUUGACGGGGGCCCGCACAAGCGGUGGAGCAUGUGGUUUAAUUCGAUGCAACGCGAAGAACCUUACCUGGUCUUGACAUCCACGGAAGUUUUCAGAGAUGAGAAUGUGCCUUCGGGAACCGUGAGACAGGUGCUGCAUGGCUGUCGUCAGCUCGUGUUGUGAAAUGUUGGGUUAAGUCCCGCAACGAGCGCAACCCUUAUCCUUUGUUGCCAGCGGUCCGGCCGGGAACUCAAAGGAGACUGCCAGUGAUAAACUGGAGGAAGGUGGGGACGACGUCAAGUCAUCAUGGCCCUUACGACCAGGGCUACACACGUGCUACAAUGGCGCAUACAAAGAGAAGCGACCUCGCGAGAGCAAGCGGACCUCAUAAAGUGCGUCGUAGUCCGGAUUGGAGUCUGCAACUCGACUCCAUGAAGUCGGAAUCGCUAGUAAUCGUGGAUCAGAAUGCCACGGUGAAUACGUUCCCGGGCCUUGUACACACCGCCCGUCACACCAUGGGAGUGGGUUGCAAAAGAAGUAGGUAGCUUAACCUUCGGGAGGGCGCUUACCACUUUGUGAUUCAUGACUGGGGUGAAGUCGUAACAAGGUAACCGUAGGGGAACCUGCGGUUGGAUCACCUCCUUACCUUAAAGAAGC
rnacentral:rRNA from 1 species